rnacentral:rRNA from 1 species
GGAUGCGAUCAUACCAGCACUAAAGCACCGGAUCCCAUCAGAACUCCAAAGUUAAGCGUGCUUGGGCGAGAGUAGUACUAGGAUGGGUGACCUCCUGGGAAGUCCUCGUGUUGCAUUCU